CCUACGGGAGGCAGCAGUGAGGAAUAUUGGUCAAUGGGCGCGAGCCUGAACCAGCCAAGUAGCGUGAAGGAUGACUGCCCUACGGGUUGUACACUUCUUUUAUAAAGGAAUAAAGUGAGGCACGUGUGCCUUUGUGUAUGUACUUUAUGAAUAAGGAUCGGCUAACUCCGUGCCAGCAGCCGCGGUAAUACGGAGGAUCCGAGCGUUAGCCGGAUUGAUUGGGUUUAAGGGGAGCGUAGAUGGGUUUUUAAGUGAGCGGGUAAAGUUUGUGGCUUAACCAUAAAAUUGCCGUUGAAACUGGAAGACUUGAGUGUGUUUGAGGUAGGCGGAAUUCGUGGUGUAGCGGUGAAAUGCAUAGAUAUCACGCAGAACUCCGAUUGCGAAGGUAGCUUACUAAGCCAUAACUGACACUGAAGCACGAAAGCGUGGGGAUCAAACAGGAUUAGAUACCCUAGUAGUC
rnacentral:rRNA from 1 species